rnacentral:tRNA from 2 species
GGGCCGUUAGCUCAGUCGGUAGAGCAUCUGACUUUUAAUCAGGGUGUCGCAGGUUCGAUUCCUGCACGGCCCACCA